rnacentral:rRNA from 1 species
GACGAACGCUGGCGGCGUGCUUAACACAUGCAAGUCGAACGGUAAGGCCCUUCGGGGUACACGAGUGGCGAACGGGUGAGUAACACGUGGGUAAUCUGCCCUGCACAUCGGGAUAAGCCUGGGAAACUGGGUCUAAUACCGAAUAGGACCACAGGACACAUGUCCUGUGGUGGAAAGCUUUUGCGGUGUGGGAUGGGCCCGCGGCCUAUCAGCUUGUUGGUGGGGUGAUGGCCUACCAGGGCGACGACGGGUAGCCGGCCUGAGAGGGUGUCCGGCCACAUUGGGACUUGGCUUCGGCCCAGACCUCUACGGGAGGCCGCCGUUGGGAAUAUUUGCCCAUGGGCGAAAGGCUUAUUCCGCCGCGCCGCGUGGGGGAUGACCGCCUUCGGGUUGUUAACCUCUUUCACCAUCGACGAAGGUCCGGGUUUUCUCGGGCUGACGGUAGGUGGAGAAGAAGCACCGGCCAACUACGUG